CCACAUUCUGAGUUCAGUAGACAGCAAAUUACUUGACUCAUAGGAUAAAGCUCCCAGAGGAAACUCAAGGUUUUAACAAUAAUAGCAACGAGACCACCACCAGCAGCAUCAGAGAAAAGACAGAUCUGUUUUUUCCUACUCAAAAGGAGUGGAGUGAAAUCCAAGUCCUCCAAAAAAGAGACGGAAUGCUGUUCUACCUCACUACUCACUCCUACUUCAAACUUUAACUUUUGGACUCACAUCAUUUUUAGAAUGUUAAACCAUUUUUCAAAGACAUUCGACUCCCAAGAGACCAUGAAGUUACAACAUUGAAAACAACCCAGAAUGUUGCAGCCUCACAAUCUGCGCUCCUUCGACCCUCCAAUCUUCCAAAAGGAGGUUUGGGAAGACACGAGCUGUUGAGAAGUUGCCAGUUAAGAAGUCAGUUUGGAAGCCACUUUAAACCAAAGUUGCGUAAUCAGAACUGUUGGUCUUAAGUAUGUGUUUGAGUAAUGUAUUAAAUGGCAUUAACAUGGACAGUAAAAGUCUUGCAUUAUUUUCUUCCCUGGGGGCAUAUAAUGCAAAACUUCAUUGACUGGAUCCAGUUUGGUAAAUGGGGCAGAAAAUGCCUGUAGAACUGAUGUAAUGUUAUGAAGAAAGUGGAGCAUAAGAUGGCAUAUAAACUCCUAAUGGUAUUGUUUCCUAGAUUCUCCUUGUGCAGCAAAGGGAAUAUUGCUGCUGCUUUUAAGGGACCAGGCUGAUUACAAUUAAGGCACCAAUGUGUGCGUUUCCUGGCACACAUAUGACUAUGGGGGCACAGAUUAGAAUUCAUUUCAUCAAGCUUUAAUUUCAUGUUCAGCCCCUUAAAAGUUCCAUAUCUUUUAAAUAUGCUGCCAGCAACCUGUUAUCUGGUAUAAUGAAAAGCAAUGUAACCACUCACCAAAUAAAACCCCGUAUAAAAUCUCAACCUCAGUUUCACUUUUCAGGCCCUGGUUUCAUUGCUUCAACCCACUCUUUCUCUCUGCCAGAGCCUCUAAUGAGCAGCAACUCUGGCCAAACCCUGCCAAGUGUGAGCAGGUGGGUUUGAUGGGAUGUGAAAUGUAGUUUGCCUCUAACAAGACUACCAUUCGCUGGCAAGACCACAUGGAUCUUAGGCAGAGAGCGAGAAAAUCUAAUUAGAUGUUUACAAAUAAAAGUGAAAAUAAAUCAUACUGUUUAAUAAUACUAUAUUAUUCAUUUGAAAAGUACUCAUUAUAUGUCAUAGCACCUUUAAAGAAAUAGUUCUGGAAAGAUUUCCUUUGUACUUGUUAAAGGUAAAAUAAGUGGAUUUCUAGAGAGAGGAACACAUUUCUUUUCAUCUUCACAAAGUCCAGAACAGCAGCAGCUGUUUGGAUGAUAUAACCAUUCAUUCAUUCAUUCAUUCAUUCGCUUGGGAAAAAAACAACUAAGAAAUUCCAAAAUAAUUAUUUUUAUUUAUUUGUUAAACAAAUCAGUGAAUAUAACUGUGGAGUUUGCCAAACGAAAGCAAGAUUAUUUUAUUGUUACUUUGAUUUGACUACCAGGUAAUUUUCUAACAGAAAGAACUUGUAUUUUCAUAGCUAAUACUAUGUUUGGUUUAAAUUAUGCUCUAUAUGUUAUGAGAAGAAAGAAAUAUGCUAAAGAAACUCAAGGCUGAAUGUGAGAAUCAAAACAGAUGACGUGAUAUGGAAGGCAUUUUGAAAGUGGUGAAACAUUUCACAGACUUACAAGCUUAUUAUUAUCUUUAGAGUUAAGAUGGCGGAGGGGAGAGAGUAGACAGAGUGGGAAACCAAGUACAAGCUUUGCAACCAGCCAGGGCGUGGAGCUGUGCAGGUCAGUUACCCUCGAGAAGACUUAGUUUCUGUUUAUUUAAAAAUUCCCUGUAAUAACCGCCCUAUCCAUCCACCACCCAAGCUCACUGUGAGAGUCAAAUGUAUGUAAAAUCACUCUUUUGAACUGCAAAGCGCAAUAAGUAAUUUUGAAAUCUGUGAACUGUGUUCUUGAUCAUAGUCACCAUUUAGGAGAACUACAACACAAUUUCAGAAAUAAGGAAAUUUCAGGAGCCCAGGUCAUACAAAUACAAAUGCAGGAAUUCAAGUGCUUCAUUUAUAAAUGUGGUUAGUAUUAGUAAGAGACUAUCCAAUUAAAGCCUUUGGACCUAGGAGUAUAAAUACAAUUCACAGAUUUCUUAAUCGACUUGCUAUAUUGAUAAUAACCAUAUUCUUUUUUAAAUUUAUAGUUUUCCUUUUAAUAUAUAUAAAAGAAUGUGUAUAAUGUAUGCAUUGUUAAGUAAUAUAAAAUAUAAUAAAUAUGUUUUAAGCGCAAGAAUGUACCCAACAAUGAUGAGCCUAAGAACUAGGACAGAGCUAAAAAUGUGUAUAUUAAAUAGAGUCAUGGUAGAAAUACGGGAGAUACUUCCAAGGGUUUAACUGAAAAGAAUUAAUACUACACCAGCAAUGACUAAGACUUUCCAUAUCUUUUCUUUCUGCAGUUGGCCCUUGAACAACAUGGGUUUAAACUGUGUGGAUCCCACUUUUACGCGGAUUUUUUACAGUACAUACUAUAAAUGUACUUUCUCUCCCUUAUGAUACCUUGAUAACA